rnacentral:rRNA from 1 species
AUUGAACGCUGGCGGCAUGCUUUACACAUGCAAGUCGGACGGUAACAGGCCGCAAGGUGCUGACGAGUGGCGAACGGGUGAGUAAUGCAUCGGAACGUGCCCAGUCGUGGGGGAUAACGCAGCGAAAGCUGUGCUAAUACCGCAUACGAUCUAUGGAUGAAAGCGGGGGACCGUAAGGCCUCGCGCGAUUGGAGCGGCCGAUGUCAGAUUAGCUAGUUGGUGGGGUAAAGGCCCACCAAGGCGACGAUCUGUAGCUGGUCUGAGAGGACGACCAGCCACACUGGGACCGAGACACGGCCCAGACUCCUACGGGAGGCAGCAGUGGGGAAUUUUGGACAAUGGGCGCAAGCCUGAUCCAGCAAUGCCGCGUGCAGGAAGAAGGCCUUCGGGUUGUAAACUGCUUUUGUACGGAACGAAACGGUCUGGGUUAAUACCCUGGGCUAAUGACGGUACCGUAAGAAUAAGCACCGGCUAACUACGUGCCAGCAGCCGCAGUAAUAC